UGCGGCGUAGCUCAAUGGAAAGAGCGUCCCGUUUCCUACAUGCCGAUGGCGGCGUGGGCGGGAAGGUUGCAGGUUCGAGUCCUGCCGCCGCAU
rnacentral:tRNA from 1 species